UCCUUGUGGUUUAUUUGAGAAGGAAAUGAUAUGGUAGACCGAUUUUCCUAAUGGUUUAUCUUUAUAAUUAUUGGGAAUAGAAGCAACAAGUUUUAUAUGCUAGCCACUGCCGUCGUUGUCACCCUCUUAAGGGAUUACAUUUUUUUUUUUACUUUCAAAAGGAAAAAGUGUUAUAUGCACCUUAUGUGAUAUAAUUGACCUUUGCGUGCACCAAAAAUAAAGCCUCCUU
rnacentral:lncRNA from 1 species